rnacentral:rRNA from 1 species
AUAGAGUUUGAUCCUGGCUCAGGAUGAACGCUGGCGGUAUGCUUAACACAUGCAAGUCGAACGGAAUGCUUCGGCAUUUAGUGGCGGACGGGUGAGUAACGCGUGAGAAUCUGGCUUUAGGUUCGGGACAACAGUGGGAAACUGCUGCUAAUACCGAAUGUGCAGGAAUGUGAAAGAUUAAUUGCCUGAAGAAGAGCUCGCGUCUGAUUAGCUAGUUGGUGAGGUAAAGGCUCACCAAGGCGACGAUCAGUAACUGGUCUGAGAGGAUGACCAGUCACACUGGGACUGAGACACGGCCCAGGCUCCUACGGGAGGCAGCAGUGGGGAAUUUUCCGCAAUGGGCGAAAGCCUGACGGAGCAAUACCGCGUGAGGGAGGAAGGCUCUUGGGUUGUAAACCUCUUUUCUCAGGGAAGAACAAAAUGACGGUACCUGAGGAAUAAGCAUCGGCU